AUUUAUCACAAAAGACGUCUUAUUCUCAAAUUCUCAACAUAGUUGCUUGCAGUAUAAGCUUUGGAAAGUAUGGGCCAGACAUCGAGCACAAAUGAUGAGUCAAUCAAUACUGGAAACAUCAAUAUAUCAAGCGGUUCUACCAAUACCGGAAACCGGAGACAUAACUGUCGGUAACAUCACUGGAAAUGACAGACAUAAAACUUUUAUCCCACGAACGAAAUGAGGUAAGCGUCAUCCCUUCUGGAGAAUAUGCCACUAUCCCAAAAGCCAGUGGUUUUAUUUCCGUCUUUCUUAAGAAUGGAGAGGGAGAAUCGGAAAAAUUUGAUGUUGCCAAGUAUGCAAGUGAAUCGGGAAGAAAUUUCAUAGUGAAGGAUGACAGCGGCGGUAAAGUCAACGUUUGUAGAGCAAAGCACGGGACGAAAUUGGAAGUGGAUUGUCCCCUGGAGAAAAUGUAAAAUCAGACAAUCAGUAUUCCUUUUCAAAUUGUAAUGUACGUUGCUUUUCUUUGCUUCUGUCCAUUUUAAGAAUGGAAUUCUUUAUAUAUACCAAGAAUCAGUUUUGAAUCUUCUUCAUUUCAAUUACUAUUAUAAUAGCGUAAUAAAAAACCUAUCUGUCUUGCAUGUAUAUUUGGAGCAUCUGCUAUUUAAUUUGUAAUGAAAUUAAACAGGAAAACUUAACUGUUACCGACUUAUCAAUCAACGUUUUAAGAACACCAUGGCGUUAGAGUAUUGCGUUU